rnacentral:rRNA from 1 species
AAGUAGAUAGAGUAAGGUGCCUUCGGGAACCGUGAGACAGGUGCUGCAUGGCUGUCGUCAGCUCGUGUUGUGAAAUGUUGGGUUAAGUCCCGCAACGAGCGCAACCCUUAUCCUUUGUUGCCAGCGGUCCGGCCGGGAACUCAAAGGAAACUGCCAGUGAUAAACUGGAGGAAGGGGGGGAUGACGUCAAGUCAUCAUGGCCCUUACGACCAGGGCUACACACGUGCUACAAUGGCGCAUACAAAGAGAAGCGACCUCGCGAGAGCAAGCGGACCUCAUAAAGUGCGUCGUAGUCCGGAUUGGAGUCUGCAACUCGACUCCAUGAAGUCGGAAUCGCUAGUAAUCGUGGAUCAGAAUGCCACGGUGAAUACGUUCCCGGGUCUGUACAACACCGA